GGCGGCAGGCUUAACACAUGCAAGUCGAGCGGUAGCAGAUCUAGCUUGCUAGAUGCUGACGAGCGGCGGACGGGUGAGUAACGCGUAGGAACCUGCCCAGUAGUGGGGGAUAGCCCGGGGAAACUCGGAUUAAUACCGCAUACGCUCUACGGAGGAAAGAGGGGCUUCGGGCUCUCGCUAUUGGAUGGGCCUGCGUGAGAUUAGCUAGUUGGUGAGGUAAUGGCUCACCAAGGCGACGAUCUCUAGCUGGUCUGAGAGGAUGAUCAGCCACACUGGGACUGAGACACGGCCCAGACUCCUACGGGAGGCAGCAGUGGGGAAUAUUGCACAAUGGGCGCGAGCCUGAUGCAGCCAUGCCGCGUGUGUGAAGAAGGCUUUCGGGUUGUAGAGCACUUUCAGUGGGGAGGAAGGCCUCGUAGUUAAUAGCUGCGAGGAUUGACGUUACCCACAGAAGAAGCACCGGCUAACUCCGUG
rnacentral:rRNA from 1 species